rnacentral:ncRNA from 1 species
CCGUGGAGGGAUUUGAUUGCUUGCAACCACAUUUGAAAAAAAAUGCUAAAAU